GUAUGAAAUGAUUUCUAUGCCGUUUGUGGAGGUUUUUACGCAAAUGUUUAUUUUAAGAGACGGGGUGUCACGUGUCUCACAGGUUUCCCGUGUUUGGGUUUUGUGAAUUUUAUUCGACUUUGGAGAUUGAUGUAAAUGCGCUGCAAGGGAUGAACGGUGACCACGUGCACUUUGGAUAAAAACACUCGCAGCAUGUGGAAGUAUCAGCAGCCUGACUUUGCAUCUUUCUUACUUGGUGAACUCCAGAAACAGCAGCAGGGAAGCAUUUUCUGUGACACACUUCUACAGACAGAAGGUGUCUGUGUUCCAGCUCACAGCUGCGUGUUAGCGGCUUUAAGUCCCAUCUUCUCCGCAGUCCUAUCCGCAUCUCCUGCUCCACCUGCAGGAAAGAACCGGCUGCUAAGCCUUGAAGCUGUAGGAUCUCAUGCCUUACUGAAGCUAGUUGGAUUCGUAUACACGGGGGAGAUGAAAAUAGAAAGUCAGAGCGAACAUGAGGAUGUAAUGGCUGCUGCCCACAAGCUUGGCCUUAGAAACC